rnacentral:rRNA from 1 species
UUGACCUCGGAUCAGGUAGGAGUUACCCGCUGAACUUAAGCAUAUCAAUAAGCGGAGGAAAAGAAACCAACCGGGAUUGCCUCAGUAACGGCGAGUGAAGCGGCAAGAGCUCAAAUUUGAAAUCUGGCCCCUUUGGGGUCCGAGUUGUAAUUUGCAGAGGAUGCUUCGGGUGCGGUCCCCGUCUAAGUGCCCUGGAACGGGCCGUCAUAGAGGGUGAGAAUCCCGUCUGGGAUGGGCGGCCGUGCCCGUGUGAAGCUCCUUCGACGAGUCGAGUUGUUUGGGAAUGCAGCUCUAAGUGGGUGGUAAAUUUCAUCUAAAGCUAAAUACUGGCCGGAGACCGAUAGCGCACAAGUAGAGUGAUCGAAAGAUGAAAAGCACUUUGAAAAGAGAGUUAAACAGCACGUGAAAUUGUUGAAAGGGAAGCGUUGUCCACCAGACUCGCCCGGGGGGGCUCAGCCGGCACGUGUGCCGGUGUACUCCUCUCCGGGCGGGCCAGCAUCGGUUUGGGCGGCUGGUGAAAGGCCCCGGGAAUGUAACACCCUCCGGGGUGCCUUAUAGCCCGGGGUGCCAUGCGGCCAGCCUGGACCGAGGCCC